rnacentral:rRNA from 1 species
AGAGUUUGAUCCUGGCUCAGAUUGAACGCUGGCGGUAUGCUUAACACAUGCAAGUCGAACGGAAACGAUACUAGCUUGCUAGUAGGCGUCGAGUGGCGGACGGGUGAGUAACGCGUAGGAAUCUGCCUGAUAGUGGGGGAUAGCCCGAAGAAAUUCGGAUUAAUACCGCAUAAUCUAUUCGUAGUAAAGUGGGGGACUUUCGAGCCUCACGCUAUCAGAUGAGCCUGCGUAAGAUUAGCUAGUUGGUAGGGUAAAAGCCUACCAAGGCUACGAUCUUUAGCUGGUCUGAGAGGAUGAUCAGCCACAUCGGGACUGAGACACGGCCCGAACUCCUACGGGAGGCAGCAGUGGGGAAUAUUGGACAAUGGGGGCAACCCUGAUCCAGCAAUACCGCGUGUGUGAAGAAGGCCUGAGGGUUGUAAAGCACUUUCAAUUGUGAAGAAAAGUUAACGGUUAAUAACCGUUAGCCUUGACGUUAACUUUAGAAGAAGCACCGGCUAACUCCGUGCCAGCAGCCGCGGUAAUACGGAGGGUGCAAGCGUUAAUCGGAAUUACUGGGCGUAAAGCGUGCGUAGGCGGUUUAUUAAGUCAGAUGUGAAAGCCCCGGGCUUAACCUGGGAACUGCAUUUGAAACUGGUCAACUAGAGUAUGGUAGAGGAAAGUGGAAUUUCUGGUGUAGCGGUGAAAUGCGUAGAUAUCAGAAGGAACAUCAAUGGCGAAGGCAGCUUUCUGGACCAAUACUGACGCUGAGGUACGAAAGCGUGGGUAGCAAACAGGAUUAGAUACCCUGGUAGUCCACGCCGUAAACGAUGAUAACUAGCCGUUGGGGGGAUUUACCCUUUAGUGGCGAAGCUAACGCGUUAAGUUAUCCGCCUGGGGAGUACGGCCGCAAGGCUAAAACUCAAAGGAAUUGACGGGGACCCGCACAAGCGGUGGAGCAUGUGGUUUAAUUCGAUGCAACGCGAAGAACCUUACCUGGUCUUGACAUCCUGCGAACUUUCUAGAAAUAGAUUGGUGCCUUCGGGAACGCAGUGACAGGUGCUGCAUGGCUGUCGUCAGCUCGUGUCGUGAGAUGUUGGGUUAAGUCCCGUAACGAGCGCAACCCCUAUCCUUAUUUGCCAGCACGUCAUGGUGGGAACUAUAAGGAGACUGCCGGUGAUAAACCGGAGGAAGGCGGGGACGACGUCAAGUCAUCAUGGCCCUUACGACCAGGGCUACACACGUGCUACAAUGGGAAGGACAAAGAGCCGCGAAGCCGCGAGGUGUAGCUAAUCUCAGAAACCUUUUCGUAGUCCGGAUUGGAGUCUGCAACUCGACUCCAUGAAGUCGGAAUCGCUAGUAAUCGUAGAUCAGAAUGCUACGGUGAAUACGUUCCCGGGUCUUGUACACACCGCCCGUCAUACCAUGGGAGUGGGUUGCACCAGAAGUGGCUAGUCUAACUUAGUGAGGACGGUCACCACGGUGUGAUUCAUGACUGGGGUAAAGUCGUAACAAGGUAGCCCUACCGGAAGGUGG